rnacentral:tRNA from 1 species
GGGGGGUUGACGAAAGCGGUAUACGUGGGCGUUUACCAAACGUCUGGUGCUUAUGCACCGUAGGGGUUCGAAUCCCCUACCCCCCACC